UGCCCUGUUCUGAAGGGAUGGUGGAGGGCGCACACUCAUAACAAUGCUUCUUCUUCUUCAUCAACGGAAAAUCUGUCGUUGCCUUCUUUUCCCUGUCUUUCUCAAUUGACUAUUGAUGAGUGUCCUAAUCUAACUUCCAUGCCUCUGUAUCCAAAUGUGGAGAGAUUAGAUCUCGAGAGGAGCAGCUGGAAGGUUGUUGAUUCCUUGUUUGUUAGAGGAGCAUCUGAUAUUACACAUGAUGUUGGUGUUGAUGUUUCUGCCUCUUCUUCUUCCCCUCAUCUCUCCAAAUUAACACGUCUGUCACUCAUUAAAAUUGAGGAUUUGGAAUGUCUAACGUCACAAGGAAUGGGCAACGUCCCAUCACUCCAAUCGCUUUACAUUGCCGAUUGCCCAAAUUUGGCAUUACUACCAUAUCAUGGGAUGGGCAACCUCGCAGCCUUUCGGGAGCUUGGAAUUGGAGAUUGCUCCAAUUUGACAUCAAUGUCAGAAGGGAUCGCCAAUCUUACAUCACUUCAGGUGCUUACAAUUGGAAAUUGCUCUGAUCUGACAUUACCGCCGGAAGUGGUCGUCAACCUCCCAUCACUCCAAUCACUUACGAUUAUGUUUUUCCCAAAUUUGGUAUCACUACCGGAAGAAAUAAGCAAUCUCACGUCACUGCAGCACCUUGUACUUAUAUGUUGCCCUAAUUUGGCAUCACUGCCAGAAGGGAUUCGUCGACUCCCCAACUUAAAUGGAUUGAGAAUUAUGAGUUGCCCCAUGUUAAGAGAAAGAUGCGAGGAGGAAAUAGGUGAGGACUGGCCUAAGAUUGCUCACAUCCCAUACAUUAACAUUUGUUAAGGUGCGUUUUCUAACUUGUUUCAAUUUGCACUUGCCAAAUUCAGUAUAAACUCUGAAAUAUUCAAAUGCCAAUAUCGUGUCUUAGUUUUAUUCUUCAUUCUUCAUUCAUCACUAGCAUUUUAUUUUUCUUUUCAGAUGACAUACCAUAUGGUCAAAGAUUUUCUUCACACUUUUGCUUUCUCGUUGACCAACACCGAUUCCACAGCAAAGCGGUAUGCAUUCCUUACCCACUAACUUCAUUUAUUUAUUUAUUUUUUUUCAAAAUGGAACCAACUAGUGACUUUACCACGGCAGUCUACUGUUUUGGAGGUUGCAUUUUAGCCUCUCUACGGCCACCAUCGUGUGGUUCACUAGCACCAAAAAUCGAACAAAGAUGUGCCGUGUAAAAGGCGAAUUUGGAAUUUGUCCCCAACCAUUGAGCCACCCGCAGUGUUUACCUCAAUUUUUUUUUAAUUUCUCUUUAAUUUCCCUACUUGUCUUUUUCAGGUGCUGAAUCCAAAGACGGUUUAGGAGUUUAGAUGGAAUUGAAGCUACCAAGCAACCGGCCAGAUGACAAUUUGUACGGACUUCUUCAACUCAAUUAUUAUGUUGCACAACCGUGUCAGUUUUCGGCAAUUUCCAAACUACAUAAUAAGGCUUUCAAACUUUUCUGGUUCAGGUUUUGCUUCUUAAUUUACUUUCAUGGAUAUGUAGUACUGACUCAAAGAAGAAACACAUGGGAUGAAGGAAGCGAAUAACCAUACAGCUUUUGCUUAUACAUGUGCCUCAUUUCUGCGGAUGUGAUAAAUGGAGGACUGGUUUGAGUUUCCACCAUAAAACUAACUGACAAUAUGGAAAGUAGCCGCCCAUGCAAGGUCCCUCUUCAUAUUUUUCUUUGUUGGUUUGCUUGAAUUGUUAUUUAGUGUGCUUGUUCUGUACCUUGUUUCUUCCAUUAAUAUCUCACUAGAAAGAGCUCUAAAUUGAGUUUUGAACUGUGUAGUUGGAUGGUCGUGUAUUUUAUACACAAUGUUCGUGUUGAGCUUCAACAGCGGAUCAAAUAUCUCAGUGUUGCAUGGAAGCAUGAGAGGACAUCUUCAAAUCUGCAGCAGAUCAAAUUUACUCUUGCUCCGAGCAAACAGUGAGUACUAUACUAAUUAAUAUUUCACUAAAAAUUGCCCAUUUAUAUGUUAAAUUGUUAAAUUUGUGAUUAAACUGAGUAACUUUGAGAUACCAAGAUUAAGUAAAUUCACUGCUUCUUGUUUUCCAGAUUCAGACGAAAGAUGGCUACUUACUGGGUUUGGAAUGUGAAGGACUAAUAGAAGUCGUGUUUGUUAGUGCAAUUUCUGUUUGGUUUGAGAUGUGAAGGACUAAUGAGAUUGCUUUGGUGUGGAGUGUUAAUUUCCCCAUAACUGAUCUGUGAGUAAAAUAUUGAAUCUCUCGACGCCUGAUUAGUGAAAAGCCUUACUUUUAUAGCUCCUUCCGAUUUUUUUCAACAUACCACUAAGUCGAUUGUUUCAGAAUUUGAAUAUAUAGCUCACUAUAUGGUGCUCCCUGAUCUGAAGUUUUCAGUUUUUGUGGAAUUUUAUUUUCUUGAAACUAACUAUUGGGUAAAGUGAUGAACAUCCAUGGGAUACAUUUUAAAUUAGGCUCUAAUGUGCUUCAAACUCAAUUGAACUUGGUUACCAGCUUUUCCUGAUCUUAACCAUUUGAUGCAUGGUUCUUAAAUUCUUGAGAAGAAUAACUGGGAUUUGUCCUUGCAGAUGAAGGUUUCGAGGCAUGUGUAGGGAAUGUGCGUGGAACACGAAGGGGUCAUGGACACACAUCUUUAUCAGAAAAGACAGAAAUGAUGCGCUGCAUAUAUCGACAACAAGCUCCAAAGUCUUUGCUGUUGGACAUUCACAGGUUUUGCACCUCUUCAUCUACUUCACAUCUCCUUCCGUUGCUGCUACUUUUGGUGUUUACUCAAUUUAUUCAUGUUAUUAGGGAACAAUCAUGCCUUUAGCUGCUCUCACCCAGCCGGACAUAGCAGAACUGGUUGAAUCUGCCUGGUCUUUUCUGUCCAAUAUCAUACUUGGAGCAUAUCACUUCUAAAUUUGCACUUAGAAUGGUCAACAUAUAUGUUGAUCAGGUAUUCCUUAUCUUCUUCAAAGUAUACCGCAUGAUUGGCUUCUCUAAUAGAAUUGAUGCAUCUGUUCAUCUUUUCAGAUGAUUCUGUUCAACUUUUGGAUUCAAUCUCUGAUGGCCAUGUUGACUGCCCAGAGUGGUUGUAUAUGUUUUUGCUUUUGAUCGACGGGUUUAGGUACUAUGUUCCUCCGUUGUAUGUUUUUCUACAAGUAAUAUAAUAUGGGCGUGAGGGUCUAGCCCCCCAGCUUUGACUGGGUUCCAGCCCUCUUUAAAUAUUUCUUUUAAAUAUCUGUUGGUAAAAAAAGACAAAUUUUGAAUGUUUGCCCCAGGCACCAAAAAAACGUCAGGACCAGCGUUGUGGUUUGGCCUUCUUUGGGCUGCUUUUGUUUUCAGUUUCAGUAGAAUAAAAUUAUGGUGAUACCAUUAAUACAAAUUAACUAUAACCAAACCCCACAUGGCUUGGGAACACAAAAGUAGCGAAAAAGAAAAGGAAAGGAAACUAACCAACAACUUUAAUUUACGGAUUGAGAUCCACUCCUGAUCUUUGUGUCUGAUGUUCAUAGAUUAGGAGAUUUGUACUACUCAAUUUUAAUCUACAGUCCCUAUAUUUUAAUAAUCCAUUUCACAAAAACCUAAAAACUUAAAUGGCUCACAUCUCAUUCUCUCUCUUAAAUGGUCCAACUCUCUCGGUUUGUGGGCUCCGGACAGAGAUGUGUAGGGGAUGUCAUUUCAUAAUUUGGUUUGGUGAGAUGAGAAUGUUCACACGUAGUGUUGCUUUUUCCAAAUUUUCAAUUUUUAGUGCCGUUGGUUGACCAAGUUCUUACUCCAACUUGGAAGGUGUGUGCGUUGAUCACUUCUGUGAGAGAGACUGAUGUAGAAGGCACUUUUGCUCGUAUGAUCAAUUGUUUGGACUCGAAUGUUCAAUAAAUGGCAAGAGAUUAAGGGCUACCUUGGGCUUUUCUUUUGGAACUUGACGAGUUCGACCACUCAACCUUUGGCGUCAAUCUUAAAUAUUUGGGUUUAAGUCGGAAAACAUGUGACCCAAACCUAAGUCCCAAACCCAAAAAAUUUGGAUUCCAAACACAAAAUAUUUGGGUUUGGACACAAAUCAAAACCUAAAUUUGGGUUCAGAUUUGGCUGACCCAAAUUUGGAGUGGGUUCUAUUUUUUAUUAAGUUGCUGAAUUUAAAACUUAGGGGCUGACAGUUGGACCACGCGUGGCAGGGACCUAGUUGUCUAACGGUAACCUUGGGUUUAAAUCCGGACCUUUUGAUUUCUGGACAGUUGGUUAUCUAAGGUCCAGAUCAAACUCAUUUCCUUUGUUUGCGCAAUCUUUUGAAAUUGGUCAUAGUGCAUAUUUACUCUUGUCAAAUCCAAUGGUAAAAAAAAAUUUAGCGGCCGAAAUUUAAAUCAAAUGAUUAAAAAAAAAAAUUCUAAACUAAUCCACUUUAGUAAUCAUUCCAAACCCUAUAAAUAUUCAUUCAUUUGUUCACUCAUCUACACAAAAUAAAUUUCUUCCUCGUAUAAUUUUCAUGUCCUUCUUUCGGAUCCACACCCCCCCCCACCCCCAAUUUUUUUAUGAAGAUGUCUGCAGGAGAAAAUGCAAGAGGUCCAAAAUUAGAAGAAAAAAAAUUGUGAAGCUUUCUGUGUGGCUUGGUGUUGCAAUUUCUCAUGUUGCAAUUUCUCAAAUGAAAAUUUAUUGGGACUUAUAUUGAAUUUUAAUGUGUCUCACAACCUGAAGAAAUUGGGAGGGGUUGUAUAUGAUUUUGCUUUUAAUCGACGGGUUUAGGUACCAUGUCCCCCCGUUGUAUGUUUUUCUUCAAGUAAUAUAAUAUGUGCGUGAAGGCCUAGUCGCCCAAAUUUGACUGGGUUCCAACCCUCUGUAAAUAUAUAUUUUUUAUUAUAUGUUGGUGUAUUAAAAAAAGUACACUUUGAAUGUUCGUCCCGAGCACCAAAAUACUCAGGACUGGCCUUGUAGUUUGGCCUUCUUUGGGUUGCUUUUAUUUCUAGUUGUAGUAGAAUUAAAAUGUGGUGAUACCAGUAAUGUAAAUUAAUUGUAUUGUAACCAAAUACCACGUGUGGGAAAAAGGAAAAGGAAAAGGAAAAAGAAAAGGAAAAGGAACCAACCAACUACAAUUACUUGGGGAUUGAGAUCCACUCGUUAUCUUUGUGUUCGAUGUUCGUCAAUUAAGAGAUUCGGACAAUUCAAUUUUAAUUUACAAUUCUUACAUUUCAGUGCAUUACCUCCCAAAAACCUAAAAACUUGAACUAGUAUCUUACUCUCUCUUGAAUGGUCCAAAUCUCUUGGUUUGCGGCCACAUUGUACAUUCGGCCUGCAAAAUGGUCAGUGCAAGUUUGGAUCUACAUGCAAAUUUGACCAUCCAGUGCAGACCAUGAGGUACAACCUCUCAGCUUCAUCUCCCGUUGAUAUGCCUGUUGUUCAAUAUCCGGUUGGGUCUCUGCUGGCCACCCUGGCUCCAUCAUCCUCAUCAUCGGAUCUCCGGCCUCCAAGGUACUCCUUUACUUGCUCGGCGUUUUAAUUUCGCUUCGUUUGAGCUCGAUUUGGGCUAAUUUCGUAAUCUGGGGUUUCUUGGGUUUUGUGUUUGGUUUGGUAAUGUGGGGUUGUGAUUGGGGUUUUGUUCUGGUUUGGGGGUGAAUUGUAGAUCAAAUGUGGCCAUUGGGGCUGACGAGCAGCGAAUCGUACCCGGAGAGACCCGGCGUGCCCAACUGUGUCUACUACAUGCGAACCGGGUUCUGUGGAUACGGUGGUCGGUGCCGGUACAACCAUCCUCGUGAUCGUGCUGCUGUAAGUCCUUGUUCGUUGUAAACUUGCAUUGCAAUCAGUUAAUGAGCUUUUUCGAUACUGCUUAAUUGCGGGUUUUGAUAUGUAAACUAGUACUCAAGCUUUCGGUGAUAGGUGACUGCAACAGGAUAUAUAGGUUGUUUUGAAUUUUCGUAGGUUUGAGUGUUUUGUUGCAGGUAGUUUUUUGUCCCUUUACCUGAAACUAGAUGAUUGUUUGUUUGCUGAGAAAGCUGGGGAAAAGAAAUGGGAACUUUUUUUGAAAUUUAUUCGACAUAGUUAAACUAGUCUAUAUUUGAUGAAAUAUUAGGCCUAAUAUUUGUGUUUUGGGCUCGGUGCAGUGGGAAAUGUCGUCUUUACAACUGCUUGGAUUUUAUUGGUAACUGAAAUCGUCUUUUCUUGUGAAUUUUGUUACCUUUUGUUUAUGAUUUCGGUUUGAUGCUGCACGUAGGUCGUGGCAGCUAUAAGAGCUACAGGGGAUUACCCAGAGAGAGUGGGGAAACCUGUAUGUCAGGUAUGAAGUAGAUUUCUGAUCUGUUGUCAAACGUGAACUUCCUGCCUGAUAAUGACAAUGUAGAUCUGGAAACUUUUCAGCAACUUUGUUAUGUUGUCCAUUUAUUUGUUUGAGCUUUGAACUUCAUAUGUGAUUGUGGCAUAUAUUUGUCUAAUGUGCAGUAUAUUUACAGACUGGGACCUGUAAAUUUGGUGCGUCCUGCAAAUUCCACCAUCCAAAACAUGGAGCUGGAUCCUUAAACCGAGCUCCCCUAAAUAUUUAUGGAUACCCUCUCAUCUACAUAUGGGUGUGUGUAGACUUUUGUGAAAUUUGUGGAGCAAGUGGCUCACAGUUGUUUUUUUUUUUUUCAAUUAAUUUUAAAUUUUUUUAUAACAGGGCGAGAAUGAAUGCUUCUACUAUUUGAAAACGGGGCAAUGCAAAUUUGGCAUAACCUGUAAAUUCCAUCAUCCACAGCCUGCUGGAACAACAAUACCGGCUUCUGUACCCCAAUUUUAUCCGUUGGUGCAGUCUCCUGUUCCUUUGGCAGAACAGUAUGGGGGGGCAUCCACCAGUUUGAGGGUGGCUAGGCCUCCACUAUUAACUGGAUCAUAUGUGCAAGGGACUUACUGUCCUGUCUUGAUUCCUCCUCCUGGAGUUGUUCCGAUUCAGGGUUGGAGUCCGUAUUCGGUAUGAUAAAGACAUAUUCAGGUUGAUAUAUGAUUGAAGUUCAUUACUAAUAGUAAUAUGUUAUUACUUGGUGCAGGCACCUCUUAGUGCUGUACCAUCUCCUGGAGCUCAACCCACAGUUGGAGCAACUUCUUUAUAUGGAGUAACACAGCUAUCUUCUCCAACACACGGACUUGCAAGCCCUUAUACCUCCAUACCCUCUUCUGUUGGUCCUUCUAGCAGCAACCCGAGUGAACAAGUUUUCCCAGAGAGGCCUGGUGAACUUGAAUGCCAGUAUUAUCUGAAAACUGGGGACUGUAAAUAUGGACCAUCUUGUAGGUAUCAUCAUCCUCGGGAUCGAACUGUACCGAGAAUAACUUGUCUCCUUAGUCCGAUGGGUCUCCCACUCCGUCCGGUAUGCAAAGUUGUUUUAUAUUAUUUUUGAUGAAUUUUUAAUUUUUUUUAUUUUAAAUUCCGCUGUUAGAAGUUAUCGAGUUCAUCACUUGGUUAUCCAAUUUGGUAGACCCAGGAGUUGGUUUUCUUUUACUCGAUUAAACAGUAAUUUUUUCCAAAAGCGGAUUGUGGGAUGCUACCAUCAUAUCUAAAGGCAUACCUGGUUGACCUCCUUUGUACAACCAAAUGAAAUACAAAUUAGUUGGCAAAGAAAAGGCUGCCAUACUAUGUUUAUAUGUUGAGUAAACAUGUUUUACUAUCUGAUGUGCAACUGUCCAGUCAGACUUCAUCCCCCUUGAGCAAUAGCAGAAGCACGAGACCAGGUGGCGCGUUUCGUCGAUCGAUUGAAAGUAAUACCCAAAGCCGCACGUUCAUUAUCUCCAGCAGCGCUGUUUAUAUAGAUGUCGACAGUAAAUGUGUAACGGGUCAAUUGUGCAAAGGGCGUCAUAUUUCGGUAUAUGGUUUGGUCUAUCAACCAAAUCUGUUUAUCCCACAGUAGUAGGAAAGGCACACACACUGUUGAUGCUUGUGUCGAUUCGAUAGCACAGCAAUCCAAUACAAAUUCCAAAUAAAGCUGCAGUAUUGAAAUUUCCGCUAUCUUCUUUUCAUAUCUUUCAAGUGAUUACAAAUGUAUUGAAAUUUCAAAUAAAGCUGCAGUAUUGUAAUUUUAUUUAGUGUUCGUCUAACAAUCGGUGCUAUUUGUCGAUCUAGUAGAACAAAUGUUACGAAAAUGUCGGUGGCGAAAUAGUAGCAUUGUUUAGUGUUUGUUUUUUUUUUUUCGUCAACUCUCAAUUCGAAACUGGACGGCUGUGAAAUGAAGCGUUGGAAUUUAGAGAUCUAAUUGUCUCAACUGCUAAAAUUGCUAAAAUUGAGGAUAUAUGUUCAGUGAAAUAUAAAAUAAAUAAGCCGUAAUAUUUAUGAGGUUCGGCAAGUAUGUCUAUAUCCUUGGAUCAGCAGCAGCAGUUUCUCUCAUCUAUCAUAUUGAAAUUACAAAAUAAUGAAAACAAUACAUUCCGUCUAUUCUUCACUAUCAUAUUUGUGAGGUGAUAGGUCUUUAUAUAGAGAAACUAUAUCUUCUUUGUUAAGGCAAAUAAGAAAUGAUGUACUGUGCAUAUUUCUCUACGUGGGUCAUCACUUUUAUAAUAAUAUACAAUUAUUAAUUAUGCAAGGAUGAGGAUCGAUGAAUAAAUAAGUACUGAAGAUGCCAAGCAAAUUACAACACAACGUGAAGGACCCGGCAUUAAAAGGAAAAGAAUCUCCUCCGGAUCUAUGACGUGGAGAUUUUAGGGAUUUGAUAUUUCAUCCGUUUAUUGUAUAUCGUUAGAAAUCAAUUAACUUUUAUUAUUUAAAAUUAAACACAAAUAAUACCUAAUGAAAACUGACCACACGAUAUACAAUAAACAGAGAUGUGGGAAUCCCUAUAAUCCCCAAUGGAUCCGGAGGGAUCCUUUUCCACAUUAAAAAUCAACUUUCAAUUAUUAAGGCCGGCAGUAAUAUAUUCACCAGUCUUUGUUUAUAUUUUAUACAUGGAAUGAUGUGUGAGUGGUUGGAUGAGAGAAGGGCGUAUAAAAACGAGCAGGGGGAGGCAUCUUUCACUACCUUAAUUCACUUCACUUGUGUUUUUGCUUCUCCUGAAUACAAGAAAUGGCGGAAGGAGUUCUCUUCAACGUUGCAGCACGGAUCAUCGGAAGGCUAGGCUCCCUUGCUUUCCAAGAGAUCGGAUUGAUCUGGGGUGUCCAAGAUGAGCUCCACAAGCUCCAGGAGAUAGUUGCCGGAUUCCAAGGUGUUCUUCUUGACGCUGAGCAAAAGCAAACCAACAAUGAAGUCAGACUGUGGCUCGAAAGCGUAGAAGAUGUAGUUUAUGAAGCCGAUGACCUGCUGGAUGAGUUUAAUACUGAAGCUCAGCAGAGACAAAUGAUGUGUGGCAAUACUAAGAUGUCAAAGAAGGUACGCCUCUUCUUCUCUAGCUCAAAUCAACUUGCUUUUGGGCUAAAGAUGAGUCAUAAGAUAAAAGAUAUUAACAAGAGGCUUCGUGAGAUUGCAUCUCGUAGAGCCUUUCCCUUAGAAGUAAAUUGUGAAGAUACACGAUUUAUAAUUAGAGAGAGGAUCACUCACUCAUUUGUCCCUAUGGAAAAUAUUAUAGGGAGAGAUGAAGAUAGAAAGGCAAUUAUUCAACUUUUGUUGGAUCCCAUCUCAACUGAGAAUGUGUCAACCAUUUCCAUAGUUGGAUUUGGAGGAUUAGGGAAAACUGCUCUUGCCCAACUCAUAUUCAACGAUGAGGUGAUUCAAAAUCAUUUUGAGUUUAAAAUAUGGUCAUGUAUCUCUAAUGUAUUUGAGUUGGAUAUACUUGUUAAGAAAAUACUAAAAGUUGACAAGAUUGAUAUGGAUGAGCUGCAAAAUGAUCUUAGAAGAAAAGUAGAUGGAAAGAAAUACCUAAUUGUGUUGGAUGAUGUGUGGAAUGAGAAUCGGGAGAAAUGGCUUAGCUUGAAGUACUUGUUAAUGAGGGGUGGAAAAGGUAGUAGAAUACUAAUAACCACUCGUAGUGAAACAGUUGCGACGAUAUCAGACACAGCUAAACCGUACACCUUAAGGGGUUUGAAUCAAGAGGAAAGUUGGUCUUUAUUUAAGGAAAUGGCUUUUAAAGAUGGAAAAGAACCAGAGAAUUCAACAAUUAAGGCAGUUGGGAAGGAGGUUGCAAGAAAAUGUCAAGGAGUUCCACUCGCAAUAAGGACAAUAGGUGGGAUGUUGCGCACCAAAUAUCACGAAACAGAAUGGUUGAAUUUCAAAGAAAAUAAACUUUCAAGAAUAAAUCAGGAAGAAAAUGAAAUUUUACCAACACUUAAACUAAGUUAUGAUGUGCUCCCAUCACAUUUGAAGCAUUGCUUUGCUUACUGUGGCUUGUUCCCACCUGAUUAUGAGAUCUCUGUAUCGAUGUUGAUUAGACUUUGGGUGGCGCAAGGGUUCAUCAAGUCAUCCGGUGAAAACGAGAGUCUGGAGGAUGUUGCGUAUGAAUAUUUUAUGGAAUUGUUGUGCAGAUCGUUUUUUCAAGAAGAAGAAAAAGAUGAGUUUGGUGUAAUAAAAAGUUAUAAAAUGCACGAUCUCAUGAAUGAACUUGCAGUCUCAGUGUCGGGGGUCGGAAGCGCCGUAGUUGAUCUGAACCGAAAGAAAUUUCAUGAAAAGCUUCGUCAUGUAUCUUUCAAUUUUGAUGUUUAUCCGUCGAAAUGGGAAGUGCCAACUUCCUUGCUAAAUGCAAAAAAGAUACGAACCCUUCUUCUUCCUUGCCAAGAGUAUAGAAGUUGUUUAGUAUAUAAUUCAUUUUCUGCUACAAUUAUUUCAAAUUUUAAGUCAUUGCGUAUGUUGAGUCUCAAGAGCUUGGGAAUUACAAAAUUACCUAAUUGUCUUAAAAAGGUGAAACAUUUGAGAUAUCUUGAUCUUAGUUAUAAUCUGAUUAAGAAACUUCCAGAUUGGAUAGUUGGACUUUUGAAUUUGGAAACACUUGAUCUCUCUUACUGCCGGGAGCUUGUGGAAUUGCCUAGAGACAUAAAAAAAAUGAUCAACUUAAGGCAUCUCAUCUUGGAAGGCUGGUAUGGAUUGACUCGAAUGCCACGUGGAUUGGGGGAGCUGAAUGGUCUUCGUACAUUGAAUACAUUUGUUUUGAGCGAAAACAAUUCUUUGUUGAGGGACAGUGCUGCGGGUCUUGGUGAACUGGGAAGGCUUAAGGAAUUAAGGGGAGAGUUAGUAAUUAAAAACUUGAGGCACGAGAAAGAUGUGAUGUUAGAAUCAAAUGUUGGUACACCUCUCAAGGAGAACAGCAUCUCCAUUCGUUGCUUUUAGAGUGGAAAUGUGGAGAAGAUGUAAGCACAAUUGAUGAGAAGGAUAUUAUAAUGUCAAAGGAAGUAUUGCAACCCCAUUCAAAUCUAAAGAAGUUGAUCAUAGAAAAUUAUGGUGGUGUGAGGUUUGCGAGUUGGUUUUCUUCUCUCACAAAUCUUGUUGAUCUCAGAUUGUGGGGGUGUCAUAGAUGCCAACAUCUUCCACCCUUGGAUCAUUUCCCAUCCCUUAAGUUUCUUGAACUUGAAAGGUUUGAGAAGUUGGAGUACAUAUCAGACAAUACCAGCAGCAGUAAUAGUAUGAGUGAUGAGAUGAUGAAGAUCUCAUUCUUUCCCUCCCUGGAGCAGCUCUAUAUAUCUGAUUGCCCUGUUCUGAAGGGAUGGUGGAGGGCGCACACUCAUAACAAUGCUUUUCUUCUUCAUCAACGGAAAAUCUGUUGUUGCCUUCUUUUCCCUCUCUUUCUCAAUUGACUAUCAGUAAAUGUCCUAAUCUAUCUUCCAUGCCUCUGUAUCCAAAUGUGGAGAGAAUAGAUCUCAAUGGGUGUAGCUCGAAGGUUGUUCAUUCCUUGUUUGUUAGAGGAGCAUC
rnacentral:lncRNA from 1 species